rnacentral:rRNA from 1 species
UUUUGGACAAUGGGCGCAAGCCUGAUCCAGCCAUUCCGCGUGAGUGAAGAAGGCCUUCGGGUUGUAAAGCUCUUUCGCAAGGGAAGAAAACUUACUUUCUAAUAAAGAGUGAGGUUGACGGUACCUUGAUAAGAAGCACCGGCUAACUACGUGCCAGCAGCCGCGGUAAUACGUAGGGUGCGAGCGUUAAUCGGAAUUACUGGGCGUAAAGCGUGCGCAGGCGGCUUUGUAAGUCAGAUGUGAAAUCCCCGAGCUCAACUUGGGAACUGCGUUUGAAACUACAAGGCUAGAAUAUGUCAGAGGGGGGUAGAAUUCCACGUGUAGCAGUGAAAUGCGUAGAGAUGUGGAGGAAUACCAAUGGCGAAGGCAGCCCCCUGGGAUAAUAUUGACGUCACGCACGAAA